ACGCUCGACACCACAGGAGGCAGCAGUGGGGAAUAUUGGGCAAUGGGCGCAAGCCUGACCCAGCAACGCCGCGUGAAGGAAGAAGGCUUUCGGGUUGUAAACUUCUUUUCUUGAGGACGAAGAAGUGACGGUACUCAAGGAAUAAGCUCCGGCUAACUACGUGCCAACAGCCGCGGUAAUCUGAGCGGGCUGGCAAGGC
rnacentral:rRNA from 1 species